GAUGAACGCUGGCGGCGUGCCUAAUACAUGCCAGUCGAGCGCACGGACGAGAAGCUUGCUCUUCUGAUGUUAGCGGCGGACGGGUGAGUAACACGUGGAUAACCUACCUAUAAGACUGGGAUAACUUCGGGAAACCGGAGCUAAUACCGGAUGAUAUUUUGAACCGCAUGGUUCAAAUGUGAAAGACGGUAUUGCUGUACUACAUAGAUGGCUUCGCGCUGAUUUAGCUAGUUGGGAAGUUAAGGCCUUACUAAGGCACCGAUGCAUAGCCGACCUGAGAGGGUGAUCGGCCACUCUGGAUCUGACACAGGGCCGAGACUCAACGGAAGGCGGAGUAAGGGAAUCUUCGGCAAGGGGCGAAAGCCGGACGAAGCACCGCGGGUUAAGGAAGAAGGUUCUUCGGAUCUUAAAACUCUGUGAUUAGGGAGGAACAUAUGUGGAAGUAACAGUGCACAUCUUGACGGUACCUUAUCAGAAAGCGACGGCUAACUACGUG
rnacentral:rRNA from 1 species